rnacentral:lncRNA from 1 species
GGGUGGGGUGAAUGAUGGAGGUCUUCCCAGUUGCUUUCCUUAAAGGGCCAGUACGUCCUUCAGCUGGGGUGCUGUCAGACUUAAGAGUGUGUGUGUGUGAGUAUAAUGAAGAAGCUGGUCUGCCCUGGGGCCACUUUGGGAUGGGGGUGGUGCUCUUUUCUGUUCUGUGAGUCUGUCUGGAGAGUGCUGGUUAGAUGAGGUGAUGACUGGGCUCAAAACUGAAGGGAAGUGGCUGCUGUGCUGACUUAGUCUUUCCUCAGAGAACUGAGCUCUUUCUUUCUCAAUCUCAGAGUGGUUUCUUGGAACCUUGUUUUUAACUGAAAACAUACAGUAACUCUUUUACCCUCCUCCAGGUAUAGAUUUGGGUUGGAGAAGUUUCUGUUAACUUGGUGUGUUUUGGGGUGAGAAAAGGCAGAGGAGGAAGGGUCAGUCAGUGGAAGGGGUCGUGCGAUGUCCUUGCCGAGGGGCAUCCUGGAACACUGGGUGUCUGUGUUCUCUUUGAUAUCAUUGAUACUGUUCCUACACAGUUUGGCUAUGUGUAUCCAAAUCAUCUUGUUCAAUGCAAGGAAGUUAAUCCCUCUCUUCCCUAGGGAAUCAGGCUUUGAUAAUUAAAAAAAAAAUUUUUUUUUGUAAUGGCACCAGAACCCUCAUUCUUCCCAUAUUGCUAUUAGUUAUAUUCUGUUGACUUCUAAACACUCAGAGCAGGGAUCAGCCCUGAGUUUGGCUGAUUCUGAGUCUCCAUGGUUGAGGAUUCAUAUGGUCUAACUUUUACUGGAGUGUAUACCCUUGGGUCUCAUUGCCUUCAGUACUCUCAUUGUGAUGGGCUCACUACCUUCAAACUUAGGUAUGUAGACACUUUUUAUAGUGUAUCUUACAAGUUAAGGUGGGGAUUUGAUGGCUUAUUAUUUAGCUUUCUAUUAAAAGUUCACAAACGCCUGACAGAAUUAGAAUUAGAUUCAAUCAUUCCCCAGUGUCCUUUCCAGUACGUCCCAGAAAAGCUUUUGACUAAAUAUUCAGAUCCUAGUGUGCAUCUAUAGCAGCGGAAACAAAGACAGACAUUUUAGAAGUGUGUUUGAUUGUGUGGUGGUGUUUUUAAAAAAGCCACCUCAAAGUGGCUUUCCUGUAUUUGAACUUAGAAAGAAAGAGAUAGGCAGGCUUAAGUUGUUUGGUCCUAUUUACUAUUUCACA